rnacentral:piRNA from 1 species
UGCAUCAUAGGUGUCAUGUUGAUGGGAGGU